GACGAACGCUGGCGGCGUGCCUAAUACAUGCAAGUAGAACGCUGAAGGAGGAGCUUGCUUCUCUGGAUGAGUUGCGAACGGGUGAGUAACGCGUAGGUAACCUGCCUGGUAGCGGGGGAUAACUAUUGGAAACGAUAGCUAAUACCGCAUAAUAGCAGUUGUUGCAUGAUAACUGUUUGAAAGGUGCAAUUGCACCACUACCAGAUGGACCUGCGUUGUAUUAGCUAGUUGGUGGGGUAACGGCUCACCAAGGCGACGAUACAUAGCCGACCUGAGAGGGUGAUCGGCCACACUGGGACUGAGACACGGCCCAGACUCCUACGGGAGGCAGCAGUAGGGAAUCUUCGGCAAUAGACGGAAGUCUGACCGAGCAACGCCGCGUGAGUGAAGAAGGUUUUCGGAUCGUAAAGCUCGGUUGUAAGAGAAGAACGAGUGUGAGAGUGGAAAGUUCACACUGUGACGGUAUCUUACCAGAAAGGGACGGCUAACUACGUG
rnacentral:rRNA from 1 species